GAAUGCUGACAUAAGUAACGAUAAAGCGGGUGAAAAGCCCGCUCGCCGGAAGACCAAGGGUUCCUGUCCAACGUUAAUCGGGGCAGGGUGAGUCGACCCCUAAGGCGAGGCCGAAAGGCGUAGUCGAUGGGAAACGGGUUAAUAUUCCCGUACUUGGUGUUACUGCGAAGGGGGGACGGAGAAGGCUAUGUUGGCCGGGCGACGGUUGUCCCGGUUUAAGCGUGUAGGCUGACUUUCCAGGCAAAUCCGGAGAGUCAAGGCUGAGGCGUGACGACGAGGCACCACGGUGCUGAAGCAACAAAUGCCCUGCUUCCAGGAAAAGCCUCUAAGCAUCAGGUAACAUCAAAUCGUACCCCAAACCGACACAGGUGGUCAGGUAGAGAAUACCAAGGCGCUUGAGAGAACUCGGGUGAAGGAACUAGGCAAAAUGGUGCCGUAACUUCGGGAGAAGGCACGCUGACACGUAGGUGAAGUGGUUUACCCAUGGAGCUGAAGUCAGUCGAAGAUACCAGCUGGCUGCAACUGUUUAUUAAAAACACAGCACUGUGCAAACACGAAAGUGGACGUAUACGGUGUGACGCCUGCCCGGUGCCGGAAGGUUAAUUGAUGGGGUCAGCGCAAGCGAAGCUCCUGAUCGAAGCCCCGGUAAACGGCGGCCGUAACUAUAACGGUCCUAAGGUAGCGAAAUUCCUUGUCGGGUAAGUUCCGACCUGCACGAAUGGCGUAAUGAUGGCCAGGCUGUCUCCACCCGAGACUCAGUGAAAUUGAACUCGCUGUGAAGAUGCAGUGUACCCGCGGCAAGACGGAAAGACCCCGUGAACCUUUACUAUAGCUUGACACUGAACAUUGAGCCUUGAUGUGUAGGAUAGGUGGGAGGCUUUGAAGCGUGGACGCCAGUCUGCGUGGAGCCAACCUUGAAAUACCACCCUUUAAUGUUUGAUGUUCUAACGUGGACCCGUAAUCCGGGUUGCGGACAGUGUCUGGUGGGUAGUUUGACUGGGGCGGUCUCCUCCUAAAGAGUAACGGAGGAGCACGAAGGUUGGCUAAUCCUGGUCGGACAUCAGGAGGUUAGUGCAAUGGCAUAAGCCAGCUUGACUGCGAGCGUGACGGCGCGAGCAGGUGCGAAAGCAGGUCAUAGUGAUCCGGUGGUUCUGAAUGGAAGGGCCAUCGCUCAACGGAUAAAAGGUACUCCGGGGAUAACAGGCUGAUACCGCCCAAGAGUUCAUAUCGACGGCGGUGUUUGGCACCUCGAUGUCGGCUCAUCACAUCCUGGGGCUGAAGUAGGUCCCAAGGGUAUGGCUGUUCGCCAUUUAAAGUGGUACGCGAGCUGGGUUUAGAACGUCGUGAGACAGUUCGGUCC
rnacentral:rRNA from 1 species